UUAUUUAGACCACCCGAAGAAUACUUGUGAAGCUGUAAGAGUUUUUAAAGAACUUAAGGUUAAGAAUGAUACUUUUGUGAUCGGGUCAGGCCGAUGUGGGAGUUCGGGCGUCAGAAAGAGACAAGUGCUCGGACGGAGGGGUUUGGAAGGCUGCGGAGGCGGCCAGUUUGAUCAUUUUUUGUUGCACCGCUGAUUGUGAAAGAUUACACUUGAGAGUCGAAAUACAUCUUUACAUCACACGUCAGUGGGCACCGAGCUGUCUUCAAAGCAACACGGAUUAGACACACGUUUCUUUUAGGUUAUCAUGUCUGCGUACAAGUUGUGAUAGUGAGACAUCCAGAGUGAUCUUCAGGACUUUUGUGUUUGGACUGAUCUGGUGUUAGACUUGCGUCUUCGCUGCGGUUUUUGGCGUCGAUGGCUGUUUCAACUCUGAACAUGACUCCGUACUUCACAGGAUAUUCUUUUCAAGGUCAGGGUCGAAUGAAUCAACUGGGUGGAGUUUUUAUCAAUGGGAGACCUCUCCCCAAUCACAUUCGGCUGAAGAUCGUGGAGAUGGCCGCAGCGGGUGUCAGGCCCUGCGUCAUCUCACGCCAACUGCGGGUCUCGCACGGCUGCGUUUCCAAGAUUCUCAAUAGAUAUCAGGAAACUGGUUCAAUCCGCCCUGGCGUGAUCGGAGGAUCUAAACCGAGAGUGGCGACGCCUGAAGUUGAGAACAGGAUCGAAGAGCUCAAGAGACAAAACCCAGGUAUAUUUUCCUGGGAAAUUAGAGAUAAACUUAUAAAAGAAGGAAUCUGUGAUAAAAACACUGCACCGUCUGUCAGUUCCAUAUCGAGGCUUAUAAGAGGAGGCAAAAGGGACGAAUCAGAUCCUAGGAGAAAUCACAGCAUUGAUGGUAUUCUAGGACCCUCAUCUUGCGAAGACUCCGAUACUGAAUCAGAGCCUGGAAUCACGCUAAAGAGGAAGCAACGCAGAUCUCGAACAACUUUCUCCGGUGACCAGCUCGAAGCCUUGGAGAGAGCGUUCACUAGGACCCAGUACCCUGACGUGUACACCAGAGAAGAGCUUGCCCAGAAGACCAAAUUAACUGAAGCCAGAGUUCAGGUAUGGUUUUCGAACCGAAGAGCUCGUCUACGCAAGCAACUCAACUCUCAGCAACUCAGUGCCUUUAAUACAAUGUCCUUGCAAUCCGCUUUCCCGUCAGUCCACCAACAAUACGAGCCUCCUAGUAGUUUCAACGCUCAGUGCGCUUCUUGGCAGCAGUCAUAUUCCUCCGCGCUAGGUUCAAGCUCCGUUUUGAACUCCGCAUUGGCUCCAUCUUUACAUCAAUCUUCGUUAACGCCAUCAGUUUGUCAGUCAGCAUUAGCUGCUUCAUCAUUACACCCUCCUACCUCAAGUGCGUUCACAACAGGAAAUCUGACUCCGCUUUCCCACUCCUCCGAACUUGCCACACCUCUUCAAGCCGCAGCCGAUGCUACACCUCCCAGUUCGAGUCCUACUGCCUCUAGUCCAUCAGUAAAUCAGAGUGCGGGGAUAACCUACCAGCACCCCACCUAUGCGAGUCCGAGCGACCCUGUGUCCCACCCUUACGGCUACGGGGACUAUGCGAAACAAGACCACGCCAUGUCCGCACAUAAUCACUGGACCUCGAGACAGCUCAGCGGACAUGCCUCGAACAAAUUAGCCGAAGUCGGUGCCUGGCCAGAAAAUUAUAGUGUUUGGCGAGGAGGGACAAGCUACUAGACGCAUAAGUGAACUCAUUGACGAAGGUACUAGAGUAGCGAAACGACCGGUGGCUAUCAGGAGCGGGGAGCUCGAUCGCAAAUCGGGUUCAUUCUUCGGCACGAACGCUCACUACGCGUCGCACGCGCACUCGCCCGGCGAGGCCAAGUCUGGAUACCCGUACUUGGGCCAACUCGGCGGUAUGGACAUGGGCAGAGUUCAUUAACCUUUUCAAAAAUAUUAAAGAUGAUGUACCUAUACAUGUUCUUCUUGAAGUUAUAACUAAUAAUCAUAGGGGCUUGAUGAAAACAUUAAAAACAGACACUAAUCCGACAUUUUAAACACAGUUUUUAUGGUUGUAACACAGUUCAAAAUACACUAAAAUUUCCACACCCGAAACCCCUGUGUCUACUAAUAGCACACCUUUUCGAAAAUUUUGUACAAUUGUAUGGCUCUGUUCUAUAUAUGUACUGCAUUGAUAAUUAUGACGAGAAACAUAUCAAUAGUGCCUUGAUUAUCUGUCAGUUAUUUGUCGUUUAAAGAAAUCGUGAGACUAAAUUAGCCUUACUGUAUAAAUUGUAUUAUAUUUACAGCUUUAUCUAGUUUAAGAUAGAAUUAAUAAAUUAAUUUCUCAUUUAGUUUAAGAGUUUUAGAGUUCCUCGAUUAUUAAUUCGAACUGAUUCUCAGUUCUAAGAUGUAAAUAUUAACAGUUCAGUUUGGCACACAUUGUUAAUAUCUCUUGUAUAGCUUCUAAUAUUUGUAGAUUAAAUAAAACGUUGUUAAAUAUAUAAAUAAGUUGUUGAGUAUUAGUUAAGUACUUAUGUCAUUUAUGAGUGAGUAUUUUAUAAUCUAUAUCAAAUCAAUUAAUAUUUUAACAAACUAAAUUCACGCUUCCGUAAAUACGACUGUACCCUCAAAAUGCCUUAAAUCUAAUUGUGAUUAGACAUUUUACAUUAUAUCAUGACGAAUGUAUUUAUUUUAUAGGAGUUUUAUCAUAUAUGUAUAUAGAAUAAGCACCUUUGUAUUAAUAGUUACUUAACUGAAAAUAAAGAAAUUCUAAUGC
rnacentral:misc_RNA from 1 species